rnacentral:misc_RNA from 1 species
UUUCCAUAGGUGAACCUGCGAAAGGAUCAUUGUCGUGACCCUGACCAAAACAGACCUCGCACGCGUCAUCCAAUCCUCCGGCGAUGACAUCGUCUGUCGCUCGGCCAAUUCCUCGACCACCUCCCCUCCUCGGAGUGGGGGCUCGGGGUAAAAGAACCCACGGCGCAGAAGGCGUCAAGGAACACUGUGCCUAACCCGGGGGCAUGGCUAGCUUGCUAGCCGUCCCCCGUGUUGCAAAGCUAUUUAAUCCACACGACUCUUGGCAACGGAUAUCUCGGCUCUC